GGGGUCGUUUGGUAUUGACAGCAGGUAAAAUUAGUAUGCAAGCAUGCCGAGCUUUGAAUCCAGCUCGUAAAUCCAGGUUUCAAACAACAAUUGGCGAAAAUAAUUUUGCUCUCGCUGCCUAAUCCAUUAAAUGGAUGACAGCUUUAUCCCCCGCCCUAGGUGGUGGGGGGCGAGAUAUCCCGCAGUAAUUUGCUCCAGGUCGGCUACUGUAUAUGGGGUACCAUCCAGGCCAGGAUAGUCUGAAGCUCUUUCCCGGGGCCAAGGCGAACUCUCAAGGGAAUAAGGAAAGGAUCGGCUGCCUUUUGCCAGCCCUCUCCCGACAACCAAUAAAAGGAUAAGCAUGUAGAAACCAUAUUGGUUUCUUGUUUGGACCCGGGUUCGACUCCCGGCGACUCCACUA
rnacentral:tmRNA from 1 species